AACGAACGCUGGCGGCAGGCCUAACACAUGCAAGUCGAACGAACCGUUUACGGUGAGUGGCGCACGGGUGAGUAACGCGUGGGAACGUACCCUUAGGUAAGGAACAACGUCGGGAAACUGGCGCUAAUACCUUAUAAUGACUUUGGUCCAAAGAUUUAUCGCCUAGGGAUCGGCCCGCGUCUGAUUAGUUAGUUGGUGAGGUAACGGCUCACCAAGACGAUGAUCAGUAGCUGGUCUGAGAGGAUGAUCAGCCACACUGGGACUGAGACACGGCCCAGACUCCUACGGGAGGCAGCAGUGAGGAAUAUUGGACAAUGGGGGAAACCCUGAUCCAGCCAUGCCGCGUGAGUGAAGAAGGCCUUAGGGUUGUAAAGCUCUUUCAGUAGUGAAGAUAAUGACGGUAGCUAUAGAAGAAGCUCCGGCUAAAUUCGUGCCAGCAGCCGCGGUAA
rnacentral:rRNA from 1 species